CCGUGCUAGGUGGGGAGCCAGCGGUGCCCUGUACCCGCAAUCCGCUUUAGCGGGGCUGAAUUCCCACCCUAGGAGCGGGUCUGUGAGGUCUGACACUGGUGUGUGGUGUUGACGGCCAGGUCCUGCGCAAUGGAAAUCCGUGAACCGGGUCAGGACCGGGAGGUAGCAGCCCUAAGCGGAAUCUUUCAUGUGCCGCGGGGUAGCUUGGCCUGAGCCGGCUGCCGGUGGGCGCUCGGAGGUCUGCCUUCGAAGGUGGGUGCACGG
rnacentral:SRP_RNA from 1 species